AGGGGGGGGGGGGUUGUUGCUUUGAGGGAAGUUACGCUUAUUUUUUUUUUGUCUUUUAAAUUUUUUUUUUUUUUUUUUUUUUUUUUUGAGAUGGAGUCUUGCCCUGUCGCCCAGGCUGGAAUGCAGUGGUGCUAUCUCGGCUCACUGCAACCUCCGCCUCCCAGGUUCAAGCAAUUCUCCUGCCUCGGCCUCCCGAGUAGUUGGGAUUACAGGCAUGCGCCACCACACCAGCCUAAUUUUUUGUAUCUUUAGUAGAGACGGGGUUUCACCGUGUUAGCCAGGAUGGUCUCAAACCCCUGACCUCGUGAUCCAUCCGCCUCGGCCUCCCAAAGUGCUGGGAUUACAGGCAGGAGCCACCGCGCCUGGCCCUGGAGAAAUAUUAAUAUAAGUUAUGAAGUAGUGAAUUUGUCAGGGGAACUCAAGGAUAAUGAUGACUCUUGUAAUUGGAAUUCAGAGAAAUGCUUUUACAAUGACUUAAGGUUAGAAAAAUACAUUGAGUUAAAUUUUACUUAUUCUAAGACCCAUAGUAUAUAAAAUACCACAUUUUGGGAGGUAGUGUCAUUGGUGGAUUAUGUGGUGAUUUUACAGGAUAUAUGAAAAAUAUUGAUUAGCCUAUCCAUAAAAGUCCUAGGAGAAUAGCCAGAUAUUGUUACAAAUACUUGAGCAAAGCCCCUUUACUUUUAAUGGUAAUGUAACUAUUUUCUUUUUUUUUUUCUUGAGAUGGAAUCUCGAUCUGUCGUCCAGGCUGGAGUGCAGUGACACGAUCUUGGCUCACUGCAACUCUGCCUCCCAGGUUCAAGCAAUUCUCCUGCCUCAGCCUCCCCAGUAGCUGGGAUUAUAGGCACAUGUCACCACGUCCAGCUAAUUUUUGUAUUUUUAGUAGAAACGGGGUUUCACCAUGUUGGCCAGGCUGGUCUCGAACUCCUGACCUCGUGGUCCGCCCACCUCGGCCUCCCAAAGUGUUGGGAUUAUAGGUGUGAGCCACCGUGUCCAGCCAAUGUAACUAUUUUCAUAGAGUAAGUAAGAAUCAGUGCUUCUGGCCAGGUGUGGUGGCUCACGCCUGUAAUCCUAGCACUUUGGGAGGCCGAGGUGGGUGGAUCACCUGAGGUCAGGAGUUUGAGACCAGCCUGGCCAACAUGGUGAAACCCUGUCUCUACUAAAAAUACAAAAAUUAGCCAAGUGUGGUGGUGGGCACCUAUAAUCCCAGCUACUUGGGAGGCUGAGUCACGAGAAUGGCUUGAACCUGGGAGGCUGAGGUUGCAGUGAGCCGAGAUCGUGCCGCUGCACUCCAGCCUGGAUGACAGAGCGAGACUCCAUCUCAAAAAAAAAAAAAAAAAAGAAUCAGUGCUUCCUUUAACAGGAAAUAAAUGGACAGAUUGCUAGUACAACCAAGGCUAUAGUGGGAGUGCCAUUAAUAUUUGAGAACAAGUUUCACCUAAUCAGGUAUGACAAGUUCACAUUAAGGAAUAAAGAUUGCAAUUAAUAUCCACAAUUAACACCUACAGUGUCUUCCCAGGAAACUGGUGUGGUGCCUGUUCCUUAGUUUACAGUUUCUCUCAGCCUUACAGGUUGUAAAGAAGCUACUUCCCUGCAGGCUACAAACAUUGGCGAAUUUUAGGAAUCUUGAGGAAAAGAGACAAUUAUAGCUAAAAACAGUAGUGGAGAAGAACUUCUUGAUGUUGGCUUCAUGGCCUCAGAAUAGGUUAUUUAAUUUUAAAAAAAUCAAUUAAGAAACCACUUUGGAAUGAUAAGGCUGUUGAAAAUGCACUCCUAAAUACCUUGCAUAAUCUCCAGACAGAAGUUAAUCAUCAGGCUGCAAUAGUUGCUCAGCAUCUUAUGGCACUAGAUUUGCUAACCAAAAGGAGGCUUAUGUUAAUUUAUACCUCUUGCUACAUCUGUAUAUAUGAAUCAGACUAAGUAGGUUAGAAAUUACGUAAUAAAAAGGGAACAGAUUCAGAGAAUACAUGGGAUGGCUCCCAUGGAAUCAGUAUAAUAAUGUCUCCUCACAUGUGGCACAGCACUCUGAUUAAUGGGUUCAAAAAUACAGUUAGAUAGGAGAGCUAAGUACUAGUAUUCCAUACUACAACAGGGAAAUUCUAGUUAGCAAUAAUUUGUUGCGUAUUUCCAAAUAGCUAUAUGGGAUUUGUAAUGUUCCUAACACACAGAAAGAUAAAUGUUUGAUACAUAUCCCAAUUACCCUGAUUUGAUCAUUAUCCAUUGUAUACAGGUAUCAAAAUACCACAUGUACCCCAAAAUAUGUAUGACUAUUAUAUGUUGAUUUAAAAUAAACUUAAACAAUUUUAAAAGUCUAUGGUUUUACAAAAUUUUUGGUCAUCAUAAUCAUGUCUGUGUGCUAUAAAUUAUGUCUAUAUCUAAUUUCCAUCAAAAGAACUAUAGAGGCUGGGCACGGUUGCUCAUGCCUGUAAUGCCCGUACUUUGGGAGGUGGAGGCGGGCGGAUCACUUAAAGCCAGGAGUUUGAGACCAGCCUGGCCAACAUGGUGAAACUCCGUCUCUACUAAAAGUGCAAAAAUUAGCUGGGCAUCGUGGUGGGUGUCUGUAAUCCCAUCUACCCUGGAGGCUGAGGCACGAGAAUCACUGGAACCCAGGAGGCAGAGGUUGCAGUGAGCCAAUAUCUCACCACUGCACUCCAGCCUGGGCAACAGAACAAGACUCUGUCUCAAAAAAAAAAAAAAAAAAAAAAAAAAAAAAAAAAAAAAACUAUGGAAAAUGGCCAACUAAGCAAGAAGUUCAAAUAAUGAUCUUGGCACAAAAGCAUGAGAUCAGCCUUUUUACUAUGUGAUCACGAAUGGUCUUCAGAGAUUAUUUAUGGUCACAGGGGAGACUGUUUAGGAAAAAUUAUGCAUAGUUUGGAAAUAAGGCAAAAAGAUGACUACAAGAUCUUCUUUCUGCAAUUUUUUAUUGUGUUAAGAUACACAUAACAUAAAAUUUACCAUCUUAACCAUUUUAAAGUGUACAGUACAGUGGUGUUAGAUACAUUUAUAAUGUUGUAUAACCAUUACAGUCAUCCCAUCUUCCCUCUCCAUAACCCUUCAUCUUGUAAAACUGACACUGUAAUUCCCAUUAAACAAUAAUUCCCAUUUCCUCCUCCUCCGCCACCUCCACUACCCCCAACCCCCACUCCCUGGCCCCUGGCAACCAGCAUUCUAGGAAUGUGACUAUCUGUCUCUAGGAAUGUGACUACUCUAUGUACUUAGUAUAAGUGGAAUCAUGCAGUAUUUGUCCUUUUGUGACUGGCUAUUUCAUGCAACGUAAAGUCUUCAAGGUUCAUCCCUUUUGUAGCAUAUGUCAGAAUUUCAUUUCUUUUUAAGGCUGAAUACUGUUUCAUUGUAUUUAUAUACCACAUUUCGUUUAUUCAUUCAUUUAUUGAUGGACACUUUGGUUGCUUCCUCCUUUUUGCUAUCGUGAAUAAUGCUGCUAUGAACAUGGGGUACAUUAUAUUCCUUCACGUCCCUGUUUUCAAUUAUUUUGGGUAUAUACCCCAAAGUGGAAGUGCUGGAUAAGAUGGUGCUAUGGUUUGGAUAGGGUUUAAUAGUCUCCACCAAAAUGUAUGUUGAAAUUGGAUCCCCAAUGUGGUGGUGUUGGGCCUAAUGGGAUGUCUGGGUCAUGAGGGUGGAUUCCUCAUGAAUUGACGAAUGUCCUCCCACUACGGUGAGUUCUUACUCUCUCACUAAGCGUUGAAGCAGGAGGGUUGUGAAGGUCUUUCUCCACAGAGCACAGGGCUGGAAGGGAAUUCUAGCAAGCGCACCAGGUAAGGCUUGAGAUAAUAGCUACCUUGUCUGAAUAGAAAGAAAAAUGCCCAGGGGCAAGUUUCAGAACAUGGGCUAAUAUUGCAGUGAUCGAUCCAAAGCUAUGUAGCUGGUUUCAUCCAUACGCAGAAUACAGGGUUUCCUUCUUUACUGCACUGAC
rnacentral:lncRNA from 1 species